UUGACCUCAAAUCAGGUAGGAUUACCCGCUGAACUUAAGCAUAUCAAUAAGCGGAGGAAAAGAAACUAACAAGGAUUCCCCUAGUAACUGCGAGUGAAGCGGGAAAAGCUCAAAUUUAAAAUCUGGCAGUCUUUGGCUG
rnacentral:rRNA from 1 species